UCAGUAACACGUAGUCAACAUGCCCAGAGGACGUGGAUAACCUCGGGAAACUGAGGAUAAACCGCGAUAGGUCAUAAUAUCUGGAAUGAUUUAUGGCUUAAAUCUAUAUGGCCUCUGGAUUGGACUGCGGCCGAUCAGGCUGUUGGUGAGGUAAUGGGCCACAAACCUAAAACCGGUACGGGCUCUGAGAGGAGAAAGCCCGGAGAUGGGCACUGAGACAAGGGCCCAGGGCCCUAUGGGGCGCAGCAAGGCGCGAAAACUCUGGCAAUUAAAGCGAAAGGUUGACCAGGGUUNAUUUCUGAGUGAUUUCCGGAUUAAGGGAAUCUUUUGGUAACUCUUAAAAAUGGUACAGAA
rnacentral:rRNA from 1 species